CGUACACUCCUGCGGGAGGCAGCAGUGGGGAAUAUUGGACAAUGGGCGCAAGCCUGAUCCAGCCAUGCCGCGUGAGUGAUGAAGGCCCUAGGGUUGUAAAGCUCUUUCACCGGUGAAGAUAAUGACGGUAACCGGAGAAGAAGCCCCGGCUAACUUCGUGCCAGCAGCCGCGGUAAUACGAAGGGGGCUAGCGUUGUUCGGAUUUACUGGGCGUAAAGCGCACGUAGGCGGACUAUUAAGUCAGGGGUGAAAUCCCGGGGCUCAACCCCGGAACUGCCUUUGAUACUGGUAGUCUUGAGUUCGAGAGAGGUGAGUGGAAUUCCGAGUGUAGAGGUGAAAUUCGUAGAUAUUCGGAGGAACACCAGUGGCGAAGGCGGCUCACUGGCUCGAUACUGACGCUGAGGUGCGAAAGCGUGGGGAGCAAACAGGAUUAGAAACACGAGUAGUCCCAUGA
rnacentral:rRNA from 1 species